UCUUUGUAAUAUAUAAAAUAUACUGGUCUUGUAAACCAGAAAAGGAGAAUAAUUAACCUCCCCAAGACU
rnacentral:tRNA from 1 species